rnacentral:piRNA from 1 species
UCUCCCUUAAUGGACUGCAGCUUCU